GUCGAGGAUCUUCUGCAAUGGGCGCAAGCCUGACAGAGCGACGCUGCGUGGAGGAUGAAGGCCUUCGGGUUGUAAACUCCUGUCAUUCGGGAACAAGAAGUCCCGCGCUAACAGCGCGGGAAAUUGAUGGUACCGGGAGAGGAAGCCACGGCUAACUCUGUGCCAGCAGCCGCGGUGAUACAGAGGUGGCGAGCGUUGUUCGGAUUUACUGGGCGUAAAGGGCGCGUAGGCGGUUCUGUGUGUCGGGUGUGAAAUCCCACUGCUCAACGGUGGAACGGCAUUCGAAACUGCAGAACUCGAGUACAGGACAGGAGAGCGGAAUUCUCGGUGUAGCGGUGAAAUGCGUUGAUAUCGAGAGGAACACCGGCGGCGAAAGCGGCUCUCUGGAAUGAUACUGACGCUGAGGCACGAAAGCUGGGGGAGCAAACAGGAUUAGAAACCCCUGUAGUCC
rnacentral:rRNA from 1 species